GCUGGGUGCAGUGGCUCACGCCUGUAAUCCCAGCGGCUCAGGAGGCUGAGGCAGGAGGAUCGAUCACCUGUUCAAAGCCAGCCUCAGCAAAAGCGAGGCACUAAGCAACUUCGUGAGACCCUGUCUCUA
rnacentral:sRNA from 1 species